UGAACAUGUGACGAGUUUGAACAUCAAAUGGCAACUUGUGCUGCCACCGGACAGUAAAAAAAAGUUUCUGGCGCAGCACAGCAAUGGUCUUAUCCAGAUGGUGGGACAAAGGCAUUUCCUAACAAACAUGCUAACGUUCUUUGUUGUUACCUUUAAGGUUGGAACCAACCAGCAGUAACUCCAGCAGGAAGAAAGACAAUACGUUUUAGCUGUUGGUGAUCAUUUCCUAAGUGUUGAUACAUUGGUGUUUACGCCAUUAAGCCUGUAUGUAUGUGUUAUUAAUGACCAAAGGUGUCUGACCUUUUAGUAAGCACAGCGUCAUAUGAUAAGACAUUUAUGUGUAUGUUAGUAAUGACCAAACGGGUCUGACGUUAUAGUAAGUACAGCACCAUAUGAUAUAAGGCAUUUAUGUACAGUACCAGUCAAAAGUGUGGACACAGCUACUAUAACACAUAUGGAAUCAUGUAGUAACCAAAAAAGUGUUCUCUCUUUCUCUCUCUUUCAUACACACACAAUUACUCCAUUGUCCAACUAUUAGCCCAUAACAAUACAGCAAUAGUCAUAGACAUCAAUACUCAUAGCUGUCUUCCAUUCAUAAGGAAGUAAUACCAGAGUUUUGCACAGUACAGAUUUAGAACCUUUUAACUCUAUUUGCUCAGCAGGCUAACACGGUCAAGGGACACAUACUAUCCGGGUUGAUAUUCAGCAUAGUAGUGGUGCCAGUGGUAACUACUCACCCUCAACAUGGAUGACCCCCACAAGGUGCAGUAGUUUAACCGCCCCGCAGAUCAGAAGCAUAAUAGCUAUGAUAUGGAGACUGCUCGCCUCAUGUUCUCCCUCAUUAUCCAUCUCUCCUUUAUCUCUACAUCUAUCAGGUCUACCGCUGGUUUUUUGCCUUUCUUCCUGUUCUCCUAUCUUUCCCUGCUCUGGCGGUACGUAUGUAAACUUUCUACAGGACGUAUCCCACCCCUCUCUCUCUCUCUCUACUUCUGUCUCCUCUCACUGACUGCAACCACUAUCAUUCUACCUGCCUCGCUCUCUCUCUCCACCUCUUCCCUCCUUAUCCCCCUCGCCCAUCUCUUUCUCUCCCUCUUACCUUCGCACCAUGCCUGUGACCCUCACUCCCCCUAUCCCCAGUUUCCCGCUCUCACACUCAUUCCCUCCCCCUUUCUCUCUGUUUAGUAAUAGAAUGUCCUUCACUCUCAGGAUGGACACCACCUCCAGGGCAAGAGAUGAACCACUGAACCUACCAGAACAAUGAUACACUCACCUUCAACCUGCCAGCUGUGUGUGUGUGUGUGUGUGUGUGUGUGUGUGUGUGUGUGUGUGUGUGUGUGUGUGUGUGUGUGUGUGUGUGUGUGUGUGUGUGUGUGUGUGUGUGUGUGUGUGUGUGUGUGUGUGUGUGUGUGUGUGUGUGUGUGUGUGUGUGUGUGUGUGUGUGUGUACUGUACAUCACAGAGCUGUGCUUAACUUGCUUGAAGGUAACUUUGCUAAAUUGACGUUAUAUCCUUUAAAUGAUACACAAUUACAAUAGACACAAGUUAUUGUCCCCCAUGUAAACCAACCAGUGACGCCAAGAGCUUUUAUUUUUACCUAGAAAAUACAUUCCACUGUAUGUGUAGGCCGUCAUUGUAAAUAAUAAUUUGUUCUUAACUGACUUGCCUAGUUAAAUAAAGGUUAAAUAAAAAUGUAAUAUACAAAUGAAUAAAGUAAAAUCAACUUGCAGUAAUUAAAAUUUUACCAGUAGAGGGAGGCAGACUCUCUUGAAAGAUUAGAUCCCUGACUGCCAUUGUCCACUUCCUCCUUUCAUAUUGGUCUAAUGGUAUUAUUCCAGAACCUGUUCAGCACUUUGAACAUGUCUUGUCAGGGUUUCCUUACAAUGGAAUGGGCGGAAGGUAGCCUAGCAGUUAAGCAAGUUGGGCCAUUAACCAAAAGGUUUGAAUCCCCAAACUGACUAGGUGAUUCUAUUUUUGUCAAUGUGCCCUUGAGCUAGGCACUUAAUCCUAAUUGCUUCUGUAAAUCUCGCUGGAUAAGCGUGUGAUGUAAAUAAGUGUAUGCAUCCCUAUUCUUCUCCUCUGUCGUCCUAUUUAAACUGAUCCCGGUAAUCCUUCUGUAGGAGACGCUCGUUUGCAUAAUCUGAAUCAGGCAAGGGCUACAGCUGCUUCUCAUUGGCUGUUUAACAGCGAGGAGCACUCGCUAAGAAGCAUAACCACCACUCUGACAUCACAACACUGAGCAGGUGUGUAAAGCUCCUAGGCCCCAAUUCCGACCCAAUUAAGAGUGUCUAAAGGGAACGUAGCAUUGGAAGAGCAUGCUAUUCACCCACUAUUCGUUUUGGGUGGAGAUGGAAUAAAUGAAGACGUGGCGGAGGUGUUUCUACAGCUACACCGUAUUCUGACCUGGACUUCAUUCCCUCAUAAUUACACCACCUUUACACGUGAGGAAACCAUGAGUAAGGUCAAGCGAACCUGCCGGUUCCAAGUGGAAAAAGCAUCUACUUUCCUUUUCCUAAUGGAAAUAACAGAAUUUCCCGUGCACAUUUAUAAUUUUAUUUAUAAAUUGCUAAGUGCUAUUGAUAAGAGCUGGGUAAAUGAGUAAUCUGUAGAAGGGGAUUGUAAACACAAAUGGUAAUUGUUUUAGAUGAUUUUUCCUUAUGAUCCCUGGUGAUUAAUGUGAUCUAGCCAUAUGGAAGCAAACUGAAAGUCAUAUCAACUAUAAUCAUCUAUUGCGGCCCCUUUUCCAUGGUCAAAUUGGAAAUAAACCGUUUUGCCGUUAUUCUAAAUUUGAAUUGUGUGCCCUCGUAAUUUGCACGGAUGAAAUGUGGAGACUAAUGCUAGACAUCAGUAGGGCUGAUGAGUUGAUCUAUGCACUUUGUUUUGAUUCUGUGCCAAGGCUUUUCUCCAUUUUAUUUGACCGUUUGUAACAUGUUAAAUAUUAGCCACUAUCGGGAGCCACCGUUAGUAAUACCCACGUGCAUGUAUUUUUGCAUCAUUCCAUUCUGUUUACCUCUCUUCCCUCUGUCACAUCCUUGUAGUUGUACAAUCGUUUGAGACAUGUAGCCUCAUUAUGGAACCCAGACCACGCGUAGCAGGUUAAACCUGGAGCCUGGCGCACAGUUCACAACGACUGGAUCGUAGUCGUAUGAUCAGGGAGGAUCAGGGUAGAUUUAGGGUAGACUGUUGUUCAACCCCUAUCAUGCGCCUUUUCCCCCCACCUUCCGAUAUUUUGUGGACUGAACUUGAAUAUGGCAACUUUCAGGGUGAAUCAAACCACUGUACUUUUUAGUCACUGUUAUAUUUUGUGUGCAAAGGUUCAUUUUUGUACUUUCCUAACACUAAAACGUGACUGAAUAAUCUACAUGAAUGCAUCUACCAGUUGGUGCUGAAACAGACGAAUAUGCAUAGAUGGCUUUCUUUCUUGGCAGCCUAUAUUCUGACCCUGUUCUCUCAAUGUGUUCUAAUGAGUCUGUCGACCAAAUUCUAAUUAAAAGUACACCUUAUUUAAACGGAUGGCUGAAGACAAAUGUACUUUUAAAGCCCAUUGAAUGAAAACUCCAUGAGAAUAUCUGUUGGCAACUCAACAA